UACGUAGGGGGCUAGCGUUGUCCGGAAUCAUUGGGCGUAAAGCGCGUGUAGGCGGUCCGGUAAGUCCGCUGUGAAAGUCGGGGGCUCAACCCUCGGAUGCCGGUGGAUACUGUCGGGCUUGAGUACGGAAGAGGCGAGUGGAAUUCCGUGGUGUAGCGGGUGAAAUGCGCAGAUAUCAAGGAGGAACACCAAUUGGCGAAGGCAGCUC
rnacentral:rRNA from 1 species